rnacentral:rRNA from 1 species
UUUAAUGAGAGUUUGAUCCUGGCUCAGGACGAACGCUGGCGGCGUGCCUAAUACAUGCAAGUAGAACGCUGAAGGAGGAGCUUGCUUCUCUGGAUGAGUUGCGAACGGGUGAGUAACGCGUAGGUAACCUGCCUGGUAGCGGGGGAUAACUAUUGGAAACGAUAGCUCAUACCGCAUAAGAGUAGAUGUUGCAUGACAUUUGCUUAAAAGGUGCACUUGCAUCACUACCAGAUGGACCUGCAGUGUAUUAGCUAGUUGGUGGGAUAACGGGCUCACCAAGGCGACGAUACAUAGCCGACCUGAGAGGGGGAUCGGGCACUCUGGGAACUGAGAGACGGACCAGACUCCUACGGGAGGCAGCAGUAGGGAAUCUUCGGCAAUGGACGGAAGUCUGACCGAGCGACGCCGCGUGAGUGAAGAAGGUUUUCGGAUCGUAAAGCUCUGUUGUAAGAGAAGAACGAGUGUGAGAGUGGAAAGUUCACACUGUGACGGUAUCUUACCAGAAAGGGACGGCUAGCUACGUGCCAGCAGCCGCGGUAAUACGAAGGUCCCGAGCGUUGUCCGGAUUUAUUGGGCGUAAAGCGAGCGCAGGCGGUUAGAUAAGUCUGAAGUUAAAGGCUGUGGCUUAACCAUAGUAGGCUUUGGAAACUGUUUAACUUGAGUGCAAGAGGGGAGAGUGGAAUUCCAUGUGUAGCGGUGAAAUGCGUAGAUAUAUGGAGGAACACCGGUGGCGAAAGCGGCUCUCUGGCUUGUAACUGACGCUGAGGCUCGAAAGCGUGGGGAGCAAACAGGAUUAGAUACCCUGGUAGUCCACGCUGUAAACGAUGAGUGCUAGGUGUUAGACCCUUUCCGGGGUUUAGUGCCGUAGCUAACGCAUUAAGCACUCCGCCUGGGGAGUACGACCGCAAGGUUGAAACUCAAAGGAAUUGACGGGGGCCCGCACAAGCGGUGGAGCAUGUGGUUUAAUUCGAAGCAACGCGAAGAACCUUACCAGGUCUUGACAUCCCUCUGACCGCUCUAGAGAUAGAGUUUUCCUUCGGGACAGAGGUGACAGGUGGUGCAUGGUUGUCGUCAGCUCGUGUCGUGAGAUGUUGGGUUAAGUCCCGCAACGAGCGCAACCCCUAUUGUUAGUUGCCAUCAUUUAGUUGGGCACUCUAGCGAGACUGCCGGUAAUAAACCGGAGGAAGGUGGGGAUGACGUCAAAUCAUCAUGCCCCUUAUGACCUGGGCUACACACGUGCUACAAUGGCUGGUACAACGAGUCGCAAGCCGGUGACGGCAAGCUAAUCUCUUAAAGCCAGUCUCAGUUCGGAUUGUAGGCUGCAACUCGCCUACAUGAAGUCGGAAUCGCUAGUAAUCGCGGAUCAGCACGCCGCGGUGAAUACGUUCCCGGGCCUUGUACACACCGCCCGUCACACCACGAGAGUUUGUAACACCCGAAGUCGGUGAGGUAACCGUAAGGAGCCAGCCGCCUAAGGUGGGAUAGAUGAUUGGGGUGAAGUCGUAACAAGGUAGCCGUAUCGGAAGGUGCGGCUGGAUCACCUCCUUU